rnacentral:rRNA from 1 species
GACGAACCGUGCGAACGUUAUUCGGAAUCACUGGGCUUAAAGCGCGUGUAGGUGGGACGGCACGUCGGCCGCUGAAAUCCCCCGGCUCAACCGGGGAAGUGGCGCCGAUACGACCGACCUCGAGGGGGGUAGGGGGAGCCGGAACUUCCGGUGGAGCGGUGAAAUGCGUUGAGAUCGGAAGGAACGCCCGUGGCGAAAGCGGGCUCCUGGACCCCACCUGACACUGAGACGCGAAAGCCAGGGUAGCGAACGGG